AUGGGAAUCACCGUGGCCCCAGCGACGCGGGCGCUGCCUCUCCCCUGCCUGAUGCUGCUCCAGCUCCUGAGAGCCCUGGUCCCCCCCCGUGUCAGCGUGGCCCCUGACGCACCGAGCCCCGUUAAGGUGAACAAGACCGUGAACUUCACCUGCCACGUGAAGGGGUUUUACCCGGGAGACGUGGCCGUCACCUGGCUGGAGAACGGGACGGAGAUGAAGGUGGAGAACAUCCCCCAGCCGGAGGAGAACCAGCGGGGCUUGUUCGAUCUGAGCAGCCUGGUGGAGGUCAAAGCGACGGAGGAGAAGAACGGGUCCGAGUUCACCUGCCGAGUGGUGCACGAUGGAGCUCCCAGGGAGCGGUUUCUGUCCAUGCCAGCUGACUGCUCGUCACAACCUUUCUGCUCUUCCCUCUCCGCCAGGGACUGCUGCGGAGCGCUCCCUUUAUUUUCGCGCAUUAAAUACAAACCAUACGAGAAUGGGUGA